rnacentral:tRNA from 1 species
GGUCGCGUGGCUCAAUCAGGCAGAGCAUUGUGCUAAAAACAUGAAGGUUGUGAGUUCGAGUCUCACCGUGACCA